CAUGAGUCAAAGAAGAAACCGCAGCUUCAAAAACAAGCCUAAUAGACUUAUAGCGUGUUUAUUACGGUCAAUGAAUGAGACUGCAACAGUCUGAAGCUCAACAAUCAAAGAUUUAUUUUGCAAAAAUAAUCAAACGUCAACAACGCUCAUCCACUCAUCUCUGACCACCUGCGAGCAAAAUAUGAGAGAUGGAAAAAGAGGGGAUUCUCACUACGUAGUUUGCUAUGUCACCAUUCAUUAGCUUAUUACACUCAUAUGUAUCGAUAAUAUUCAAUAAUUAUACUAAAUUGAUGCUAGUUUACAUUGUAAUGUAUAUUACUGCCUUUCUUAUAUAAUCAAUAAUAGGCUAAUACCCAGAUUGUUGCUAGUUUACAGUACACUCUUUUAAACUGCUGCUGGUGUGCACUGUUAUGUUAAGUGUUUCUUUAUUUUAUUUUUGUCUGGCUCUAUUUUUGCUUAUACAUUCCCCACUCUCACUACGUAGUUGUCGGGUGCCAUGACACAAUAAUUUAAUUGCUCAGGAUGACGCUGUGUUGCUCGGUCCAUUUGACAAAUAAACGUUGAAACUUGUAACAUCGCUUGGAAUUCUAACUAGAUUUUUCAACAAUGGGAGGGAGGUGGGGGUGGGAAAGAUCCACGUGGGGAUACUACAGCACUACAUUGCUGUGAGGCUGUGAGCAGACAGUGUCAAUCAAUGCAUUUAGGGAAAGUAGCGACCAUAAAUGUACAGAAACGAUGUCGCUUGUCAGAUUUUCCUAACAAGCGACCAAACAUUUUAAAACAAUCCCCAAAAAACCGAGACCAGUAAUUAUUUCAAGCUCUUCUCCCUUAAUUCCACUGCAGUGUAUGUGGUUAUUGCCAUCGUGUGUCGAAUACAGACAAUAAAAGCGACAUACGAGAAAAAAAAGAAAAAAAACAGUAUUUACACACAGUAUGAACGUAUUAGGGAAUCGCAUACUCAAUGGAAUCCAUUACACCUGAUGCGCAGGGUUGAGCCGAUUAUGACGUAAGCGUCGUUCUCCAUUCAGUUAAAGCGGUUGCAUUGACGCAACAAUGUAAAAGACCUGUAAAAGCAAGUGCUUUCAGCAGAGCGGUUCAUAACCAAACUGAACAAUCAUCUGAGCAAAACUACCUACUUUAAGACUGUAAGACUGGAUCAGGUCUGGCUGUCUUUGCCUUGGUGUUGCUAGAAGGCAGUGUUCUAACCAUCGCUGAUACACAAGACCAGUUCAGCUUCUUCCUGGGGUUCCCCUGUGAUAACAUGCAGCCUGGACUGUCAACCAGGUGGGUCUGCGUCAUCCAACUAAAUAUCUCUGUCUAACACUUUGUCUGACAACCCUGUUUCCCUCCCACAGGGCCAUCCAGGACUGCCUGGUAAAUGGACGUAUCAUUAGUGCCUCAAGAGUUUGCUGUCUGUGUGCGUUGCCUCUGACCCCUGAAAUCUACAAUGCAACGUUUUACACUACCAACUUAAAGACUGGGUCUGGUCUGGAGGGUCAUCUCAUGUACGAGUUGACCUUCCAGACCCUGGUAAGUAGAAGACCACUCUGAUCCUGUGUUUUCUUCAGCACAUAGUCUAAUAGCUCAGUUAGGUAUUUUCAGUUAAUUAACGGGAAGGGAAAAUGUCUAAAAUUCGCUGCAAAGACCCAAUUGCCACAGUGGGACAUAUUUUGUUCUCUGAGUAAUAUGGACCCAACCUAAAAUCGGUUUACCUUCAGCCUGACAUUUGAAGUCGAUCCAUCCCGUUCCUCUUUCAGUAAUGUCUAGAAGUAAAAGGCUUCUUGCUGUUGGGUAUUAUACCAGAUCUUCAGAUGAAGAGUUCAUUGGCCAUUGGCAGACAUGCUGGCUGACUUUGCCUUGGUGUUGCUAGAAGGCAGUGUUCUAACCAUCGCUGAUACACAAGACCAGUUCAGCUUCUUCCUGGGGUUCCCCUGUGAUAACAUGCAGCCUGGACUGUCAACCAGGUGGGUCUGCGUCAUCCAACUAAAUAUCUCUGUCUAACACUUUGUCUGACAACCCUGUUUCCCUCCCACAGGGCCAUCCAGGACUGCCUGGUAAAUGGACGUAUCAUUAGUGCCUCAAGAGUUUGCUGUCUGUGUGCGUUGCCUCUGACCCCUGAAAUCUACAAUGCAACGUUUUACACUACCAACUUAAAGACUGGGUCUGGUCUGGAGGGUCAUCUCAUGUUCGAGUUGACCUUCCAGACCCUGGUAAGUAGAAGACCACUCUGAUCCUGUGUUUUCUUCAGCACAUAGUCUAAUAGCUCAGUUAGGUAUUUUCAGUUAAUUAACGGGAAGGGAAAAUGUCUAAAAGUCGCUGCAAAGACCCAAUUGCCACAGUGGGACAUAUUUUGUUCUCUGAGUAAUAUGGACCCAACCUAAAAUCGGUUUACCUUCAGCCUGACAUUUGAAGUCGAUCCAUCCCCGUUUCUCUUUCAGUAAUGUCCGGAAGUAAAAGGCUUCUUGCUUUUGGGUAUUAUACCAGAUCUUCUGUGUCAUCCCUUCUGCUAAGUCCUGCUAAUGUAUGUGUUCUCGGAGUGUUGUGUAGCUGCAGCAACAGGUGACCACCAUUCUUAACCAGCUUCCUCCUGCUCCCAGACCAGCGAGACCCACACCUGACCCACACAUACCAAGAGGCCAUGGACAAACUGAUAAAGGGUGUGCCUAAUGUCAGAGAGGAACCCUGCUCGGAACACUAAAUCAAACCCUGACAACCUAUAGGACACACUGGAGACAUGCAUGUGUGUGUGUGUAUAUAUAUAUAUAUAUAUAUAUGUGUGUGUAAACUUGUGAGCACCAUGACCAAUCAGCAAAAAAAAGAUACUGGGACAUUUUGGCGGUCCUAUUCUGCAAUUUGGAAACGUCAAUGAUAAUGUGUGUAGACCAAAAUAUCUGAAAAAUAUUUAUGUAAUUUAGAUGAAAUUGGGAAAAAAAUUAUGUUAUUUGGCAUAAGAUUAUUCUUAAAAAUUCUUAUCCGGCACAGCCAGAAGAGGACUGGCCCCUCAGAGUCUGGUUCCUCUCUAGGUUUCUUCCAAGGUUUUUGACCCUACUUGGGAGUUUUUCCUAGCCACUGUGCAUCAAUGUAUUGUUCUUGCUUGCUCUUUGGGGUUUCUAGGCUGGGAAUCUGUGCAUUUUGUGAGAACAGACAAUAUAAAAAUGGCUUUAUAAAAUAAAAUGUGUUCAUUGCUUACAUCAGAUGUGGUUUUGCCUUCAUUAAAAAUCUUUAUAGUGGAAAUGGGUGUGAUUUGUCUUGGUUGUGCUCUUUUGCAGAAUAAUAACAGACCCAAGUCAGGGGGAGAAGCUUUCAUUCACAAAAUAUAGUACACGUCAGCCUUCUUUCCAUCUCUUUCUUGGCCUUUCCAGCUGUCUUUGUGCUUCCCCAAAUAUCUCUGUCUUAAACAGCAUAUUUAUUCUUGACUGGACCUUCAACACAUCCCAUGCACUAUCUGGCUGUCUUCCAAUCAUAUACGUGUAUUCUAAAUCUUAUCCUUGUAGGGCCUGGUAUAGUGUCCCAUCUUGAGAUCUUGGCUCCACACAUUCCCACUUAGCAGGUUGUAUGGGAGCCUCUUCAACUGUUUGUGAUACGGUACUUCAUACAGCACAAGAUAACGAAGUACCAAUCCUCGGUUUUGUGUUUCUAAACAAGAGAAUAGAACCAAAAUAAAUGUAUAUAAUAAAUGUAUAAAGACAUGCUUUCUCACAAUUCCCCCCAUGACUUUAAAAUACCACAUUUAUAUGUCAGAACAACUAGUCUAUAUAGCAUAUCAGCACUACCCAUGUAAUAAUAAGAAAAUUAAAAACAGUUACAAAUAAUAAAGCAAGCUCAUUCAUCUCACCACAAGUGUGAGAGGUACAGUUGUGGUUACUAUGCAUGCAUAUUCAAAUGAAUGACAGACAGUGGUAUUCAAAUUUGGCAUGGCCUUUGCUCUGGAAUGUGCCGUGGGAGCAUGCGCCUUACCUUGAGCGACAGACCCCUGCCAAUAGCACACUUGACAAGUUGUACCAAGAUAAAAAAGAUCAACACUACAACCACCGCUGGCAUAAUCAUGUUCAGCAGAGAACCUCCCAAUUUACAAAAAAUAGAUGACAACCAUGUAGAAAAACCUACAUCAAUCAUCAGGAUUGUGAUUAUGGUAUUUGGCACCUUCCUCACGGAUCUUACCAGCCAAAUCAGUCAGUUCUUCAGAGUUAUCAGGUAUGUACGUACAACACUAAAUUCCAAUAACUGCACAGGUUCCCCCUGAGCAGACAAUAUGUAGUCAAGAGCAAGUCUAUUUUGCAUUGCAACAGUACGAAGGGCAACCAUUGCAGCUGACUGUAAUUUCAGACUUUCAGAGGUCAUGUUAGCGAAAGCCUCCAAAGAGCUAGCCACACUAAUAACUUCUCCUGCCAACAUGGCAGUGCCAUAGGGAGGGAAUGCAAUAGCAAAAACCUGUUCCGUUUCAGUGAUGGCUCGUGUAUGUCGUGUUUUAAAGGGAGAAUAUGUACUCAGUCUCACAUGUGGAAUUACAUAACUCAAAUAACAUGAUCCUCGCCAUAAAGGUGGGAGCCAUGGAUAGGCAUUGGGGCUGCAAAUGAAGUGAGUUCCGUUAGGAGCAAUCAUGCCCGUAGUUAUUAAGUUAGCUAUGGUGUUGGCAUAAAAUACAGUUGCAGUCCCAUUAUUGAGGGUUAUAUUGGCAUACAUAAAACACUCAGGGUCUGCUGUUUUGGUUGCAAUACAAACCAAAAGCAUCAGAAUAUUGUUCCGUUAGACUUUUGGAUUGUUCUUGCUGUAUACACAACCAUCCCCUAGGCUGAUUAGUAACUACUAUAUGUGGUGGACGACGCCAGAAAUCAGGGCUGUUCCUAUUAAAGGCUGGCAUAUAACUAUGACGCCAUGAUUUCACAGGCACACCUAAAGAUGUUACAUGAUCCUGGACAGUAAUACAUCCAGAUUGAUUAGGUUCCCUUCAACAGGGGUCAGACGCAUUUGGUCCACGAGAGUGCAAGUAGCUAUCAUUAACACCCCAAUUUUUGUAUAUAGAAAAUUUGAACCAACUGAGGUCUUUCCAGAUCCCUAACAUCUCAGACUGAUUGAAUGGAAUGACUCCCUAACAUCUCAGACUGAUUGAAUGGAAUGACUCUCUAACAUCUCAGACUGAUUGAAUGGAAUAACUCCUAAGGGAAUACCUCCGUUAGCGGUGAAAAGGCUGUGGGUACAAAUCCAACAACUACUCUGGUUAACCGUCCUGGCAAAUUGUAGGGAGAGGGCCAAACAUGUAUUAAUACCAUGAUGACCAUCCUCGUGAGUAUGGUGUCUAUGUUUGGGACUAGAGCACCACCACUCUGUACCACCAGGAAACACACAGAAACAAUUACCAUGAACAGAAUGAUCUACAAAUGGAAAAUAUGUAUGACAGCUAGCUGAUUGAGAAAGAUAUUGGUUAAAGCCCUGAACUACCCAAUUUACUAUUCAAGGGCUAAACGUUUUUAAAUCUUCAUUUGUGAUUGUUGAUUUCUUUCUUUGGCAAUGUUAAUCUAAUAAGAUCAGGUGUGUAAGCAGUUGAGUAUUUCAAAUACAUGGAAUAACUGGGGGUUCCAGAGGAGUUUUCAUAACCACUGCAAAAAUCCUCACACCAUGAAAUCUCUAGUCCAGAAUCCAAACCAGUAAAUCUACAGUAUAUCGCCUGUGGUAGUAACUACAUGAACAUCUUUUAAGAAUGAACAUUUUAUUUCUUGUUGAUUUUCUUUAAGUCCUAGACACAUGAUGGUGCAGAUGGAAAAACUCUAGAUACCUUGAGGGAACAGAGGACCAGACUACUUUCAGGGCAUGUCCUCCUGAGUCAGUUUACUGCUCCCAGUACCUCUACAGUUCCAGCCUAUCUCAUACAGUCUGAAAAACAACCAUG
ensembl:lncRNA